rnacentral:rRNA from 1 species
CUUUUCCUACGGGACGCAGCAGUGGGGAAUAUUGCACAAUGGGGGAAACCCUGAUGCAGCGACGCCGCGUGAGCGAAGAAGUAUUUCGGUAUGUAAAGCUCUAUCAGCAGGGAAGAAAAUGACGGUACCUGAGUAAGAAGCUCCGGCUAAAUACGUGCCAGCAGCCGCGGUAAUACGUAUGGAGCAAGCGUUAUCCGGAUUUACUGGGCGUAAAGGGAGCGUAGGCGGCCUGCCAAGUCUGAUGUGAAAUACCGGGGCUCAACCCCGGUGCUGCAUUGGAAACUGGCAGUCUGGAGUGCCGGAGG